rnacentral:tRNA from 1 species
GGCGGCGUGGCCGAGUGGUUAGGCAAGGGACUGCAAAUCCCUGUACCCCGGUUCGAUUCCGGGCGCCGCCUCCA